GAUGAACGCUAGCUACAGGCUUAACACAUGCAAGUCGAGGGGCAGCAUUGGAGUAGCAAUACUUCAGAUGGCGACCGGCGCACGGGUGAGUAACACGUAUCCAACCUGCCGCUUACUCGGGGAUAGCCUUUCGAAAGAAAGAUUAAUACCCGAUGGUAUAAAGAGUUCGCAUGUUCUCUUUAUUAAAGAAUUUCGGUAAGCGAUGGGGAUGCGUUCCAUUAGAUUGUUGGCGGGGUAACGGCCCACCAAGUCUACGAUGGAUAGGGGUUCUGAGAGGAAGGUCCCCCACAUUGGAACUGAGACACGGUCCAAACUCCUACGGGAGGCAGCAGUGAGGAAUAUUGGUCAAUGGACGCGAGUCUGAACCAGCCAAGUAGCGUGAAGGAUGACUGCCCUAUGGGUUGUAAACUUCUUUUAUAAGGGAAUAAAGUGAGGGACGUGUCCCUUUUUGUAUGUACCUUAUGAAUAAGGAUCGGCUAACUCCGUGCCAGCAGCCGCCGUAAGAC
rnacentral:rRNA from 1 species